rnacentral:rRNA from 1 species
UAAGGGUUUAGUGGCGCAGCUAACGCGAUAAGUUGUCCGCCUGGGGAGUACGGCCGCAAGGUUAAAACUCAAAGGAAUUGACGGGGGCCCGCACAAGCGGUGGAGCAUGUGGUUUAAUUCGAUGCAACGCGAAGAACCUUACCUACCCUUGACAUCCAAGAAAUCUUGUAGAGAUACGAGAGUGCCUUCGGGAGUCGUGAGACAGGUGCUGCAUGGCUGUCGUCAGCUCGUGUUGUGAGAUGUUGGGUUAAGUCCCGUAACGAGCGCAACCCCUAUCCUUAGUUACCAUCGGGUCAUGCCGGGGACUUUAAGGAGACUGCUAGUGCAAGCUAGAGGAAGGUGGGGAUGACGUCAAGUCAUCAUGGCCUUUAUGGGUAGGGGUACACACGUGCUACAAUGGGCGGUACAGAGGGCAGCAAUAUCGUGAGAUGGAGCCAAUCCCAGAAAACCGUUCGUAGUCCGGAUUGGAGUCUGCAACUCGACUCCAUGAAGUUGGAAUCGCUAGUAAUCGCGAAUCAGAAUGUCGCGGUGAAUACGUUCCCGGGCCUUGUACACACCGCCCGUCACACCAUGGGAGUAGGUUGUACCAGAAGUAGAUUGACUAACCUUCGGGAGGUUGUUUACCACGGUAUGAUUUAUGACUGGGGUGAAGUCGUAACAAGGUAACCGUA